rnacentral:rRNA from 1 species
GAUGAACGCUGGCGGCGUGCCUAAUACAUGCAAGUCGAGCGAACAGAUGAGGAGCUUGCUCCUCUGACGUUAGCGGCGGACGGGUGAGUAACACGUGGAUAACCUACCUAUAAGACUGGGAUAACUUCGGGAAACCGGAGCUAAUACCGGAUAAUAUAUUGAACCGCAUGGUUCAAUAGUGAAAGACGGUUUUGCUGUCACUUAUAGAUGGAUCCGCGCCGCAUUAGCUAGUUGGUAAGGUAACGGCUUACCAAGGCAACGAUGCGUAGCCGACCUGAGAGGGUGGUCGGCCACACUGGAACUGAGACACGGUCCAGGGUCCUACAGGAGGCAGCAGUAGGGAAUCUUCCGCAAUGGGCGAAAGCCUGACGGAGCAACGCCGCGUGAGUGAUGAAGGUCUUCGGAUCGUAAAACUCUGUUAUUAGGGAAGAACAAAUGUGUAAGUAACUAUGCGCGUCUUGACGGUACCUAAGCAGAAAGCCACGGCUAACUACGUG